rnacentral:lncRNA from 1 species
AAGCUUGCACUGCUUCCCAAUGGCACUCCAUCUGGCUUCUUCUAUUACAGAACUCAUGUGGCUUCCUUUUGAUUUCUGAUCAUGAAAUUUUAAGGUUUGAGGGCAAAACCAUUGCUUUUGAUUCUCAAUUGCUGAACCUAUUUCAAUCACAUUAUAUCAUGUUGUAUUAAACUUGUGUUGUUUGGAUCUUAACAAAGUCUUGAACUGUGUAUGCAAUACAAUUAAUAUUUAAGUA